rnacentral:rRNA from 1 species
GAUCCUGGCUCAGGAUGAACGCUAGCUACAGGCUUAACACAUGCAAGUCGAGGGGAAACGAUAUUGGAAGCUUGUCUUCCGAUAGGCGUCGACCGGCGCACGGGUGAGUAACGCGUAUCCAACCUGCCCACCACUUGGGGAUAACCUUGCGAAAGUAAGACUAAUACCCAAUGAUAUCUCUAGAAGACAUCUGAAAGAGAUUAAAAGAUUCAUCGGUGAUGGAUGGGGAUGCGU